CUAACCCUGCGGUGUGCGUUGUGUGCCGUAUGUUUGAGCCAACACCAACACAUGGGGAGUCCGGUCUCUGGUUGUGGAUUGGUACCUUGUUAAUAGGAACCAUAAAGCACCCAGGAGGGCACCCACCUAUUUGAGCAAAGGUUCAUUAAACUGCGGCAUAUGACGGCAUAUGUGGGGUCAAU
rnacentral:other from 1 species